rnacentral:rRNA from 1 species
GAGACUCUGUGCGCGUGCAUAUCAAUAAGCGGAGGAAAAGAAACUAACAAGGAUUCCCCUAGUAACGGCGAGUGAAGCGGGAAGAGCUCAAAUUUGAAAUCUUAGAGGGUUUCCCUUUACGAAUUGUAGUUUAAAGAAGUGUUUUCUGUUGGAGUUUCGGUAAAAGUUCUUUGGAAUAGGACAUCAUAGAGGGUGAGAAUCCCGUAUUUGAUCGUUACUUUCCAGCUGUGUGAUACACUUUCAAAGAGUCGGAUUGUUUGGGAAUGCAGUCCAAAAUGGGUGGUAAAUUUCAUCUAAAGCUAAAUAUUGGCGAGAGACCGAUAGCGAACAAGUACCAGUGAGGGAAAGAUGAAAAGAACUUUGAAAAGAGAGUUAAACAGUACGUGAAAUUGUCAAAAGGGAAGCGUUUGACACCAGUGUUGUUUAGUUGAAAAUCAAUUCAAUAAUUUUUGAUUUUAAGUAGUAAUUGACUUCAUCAGCUUGCUGCUUUCUUUUCAGGAAUUAUUGAAUGCACUUUUCAGUUAACAAGUCAACAUCAAUUUCUUUUGUUGUAAAAGGGUAAGAGGAAGGUGGCUUACGCUUCGGCGUAAGUGUUUUAUAGCCUUUUACCUCUGCAAUCGGAGAGAUUGAGGACAGCAGCGUAGACUCCUUCGGGGGUUAGAUACACUUGUGCUAAGCUAUAGCCUUGUAUAGACAACCUUGUUGACUAUGCUCAGUCAUGUAGCUUACUCGCUUGUGGCUAUUUUACCUACGCUUAGGAUGUUGACAGCAGUAUAGACUGU